GUCACUGCAUCCCACUCCUCAUUCCUCCCUGUGAAGUCCCCUAGAGCUGUCCCUGCCCUGUCCCAGAGGGCCCACCCAGUGAUAGCCCUUUCCUUCCUUCUAGCCCCUCCUUCCUCCCCUCCAUCGACCCCCAUGUAUUCAGUAUCCCUCAGGAAAUGUCCAAAAUCUGCAGCAGAAAAAUAUAACUCAGAAAAGGGACAUUCUAACUUCAAACUUUCAAGUAGAAGCUCAGCAAGCUCCUGAACCCAGAGUGAGGAUGCCUUCCAGAGCUGGCUGCCACUGAGGCCCUGCCAGAAGGCAGUGAUGAGCCCAGGAGGCCUGCCCAGCAGCUGCAGGGAGGGGCGGAGGAGUGGGGCUGCAUCCGUGAGCAUCUGAGCCUCUAUUCUAAAACAUCUGCUAGCACUGGAUGCUGGGGUUACCAUGGUGACUGAAGACUCUGCCACCUGGUCCACCCCUGUUAUGACAACAGUGACCCCCAAUCUAAUGUUGCCAUCAAGGGUGGUAGCCCAGAUGUGCUGGAUGUGACUAGCAGGAACAAGGAGAAACGCAACCCUUAGUGGGGGGCUCCACUUUGCUAAGGGCUAGCUUAUGGUUUGGACAAGGGAAGCUGGCUCUGUGGUCCCCACCUUGCAACAGGGGCAGCAGGGACUGGGAGAAGAGAGUGUGGGGUCUGUUACCGAGCUCCUCUGAGAAACAGACACCAAGACUAAAUUGCAAGGGUUUUAGGAGGGAACAGACAUACAUGAAAAGAACAAGAAAAAACUGGGUAAGCCACUAGACCAUGAAGCAAGUGUGACCCCCAGUGUGGGGGAGAGAGGGGAAGAGGAUGGGUGGGACUGCUCAGGACUGUGUUCUAAGGAAAAUCCGUGGAGCCUUUAGGGAGUCUUGGAAACAGCCAGCAAAGAAGGUUUGGCUGUGCCAGCAACAAGUCAGCCUUAGCAUCCCCAGCACACUUGGUCAUCGGAGGAGGGCUGCCAUGGGAGCCCCGUACCAGGUGGACACAUGGGGGCAGCAGCCCUGCCUGGAGGAGGUCAGGCACAGAGUCCUAGGCACUGAGGUUGGAUGGAAGUGCAGCUGAGAGAACCCAGAGGUCCCUGGGGCCAAAGCCAGGACCAGAAGGAGAGCACACACAGGAAGAGCUAGAAGACCUCCUUGCUGAUGCUUGUAUAAGGGUUUCAGCCAAUGUUGGAACAAAAUCCAAAAUCAGGCCAAAAUACCCACCUGUCAUGACUGGAUCAAGCCAGCUGCACCUUUUACAACCACGUACAAGGCUCGCCACAACCUAUGGAUACCCACCUAACUACCUAGGGACAGAGAGCCACGAUCCUCAAUAGGCAGGGGCAAUGCCCAUGGCCAGCAGAAAGUAGCUACAGAAAGCUGAUCUUCAGCCCUUCUGCCUCCCAUAAAGAUUUAUGGGGAUCAUAUCUCUCAGGGGGAAAUGAGGCAGGAGAAUAGGGAAUUAGGGUAACCAGGGUUUCAGCUGGCACAGCCAGUGCCGCAGGGUUGGAAGAACAGCAGGUGCAGCCAGUUCAAAGGAGCAGAAGAACAGCAGGUGCAGCAUCUAGGCCACAUCCUUGCUCCCAUGACAACAAGCCACUUCAGCCUCUGAUUGGUCUCCGGCCAAUCCUUUAUGAGGUGUGGUCAACUGGAGGCCUCUGAAGGGCACCGAGGGAUGUUGCCGGGUUUUUUCUUUAAUAAAAACUGUAAUUGAGGGGGCUCUUGAGCAGCCGCUUGCUCAAGCCCAAUCCCACUCUGAAUUUUCUUCAAUAAAUCUGUGCCCACUCUGGCAUUUUGUUCAAUCCCUUGCCCAAUAUGCCAAGAAUAGCGGGUGUAGCAUACAGGCCACAUCCUGGCUGGACAACUCACAUUUAGGACACCCUCUCCGGCAACAGGGUGACAUCAUCCUCUUUCCUCAGCCUGUUAAAAUGUUGGUAUUAUGGGCGUGAGCUGCCCUGCCUGGCCUGGAACUUCAUUCUUUUUUUGCUGAAAAUUAUUCCCUUGUAUGCAUCUAUUACAUUGAGCCAUUCAUCAGCUGGUGGACAUUUGGACUGUUUCCACUUUUGUUUAUUAUGAAUAAAGCUGCUAUGAACACUUGUGUAAAGGUUUA